rnacentral:rRNA from 1 species
GAUGAACGCUGGCGGCGUGCCUAAUACAUGCAAGUCGAGCGAACAGAUGAGGAGCUUGCUCCUCUGACGUUAGCGGCGGACGGGUGAGUAACACGUGGAUAACCUACCUAUAAGACUGGGAUAACUUCGGGAAACCGGAGCUAAUACCGGAUAAUAUAUUGAACCGCAUGGUUCAAUAGUGAAAGACGGUUUUGCUGUCACUUAUAGAUGGAUCCGCGCCGCAUUAGCUAGUUGGUAAGGUAACGGCUUACCAAGGCAACGAUGCGUAGCCGACCUGAGAGGGUGAUCGACCACACUGGAACUGAGACACGGUCCAGACUCCUACGGGAGGAAGCAGUAGGGAAUCUUCCGCAAUGGGCGAAAGCCUGACGGAGCAACGCCGCGGGAGUGAUGAAGGUCUUCGGAUCGUAAAACUCUGUUAGUAGGGAAGAACAAAUGUGUAAGUAACUAUGCACGUCUUGACGGUACCUAAUCAGAAAGCCACGGCUAACUACGUG